rnacentral:rRNA from 1 species
GAUGAACGCUGGCGGCGUGCUUAACACAUGCAAGUCGAACGAAGCACUUUAUUUGAUUUCCUUCGGGACUGAUUAUUUUGUGACUGAGUGGCGGACGGGUGAGUAACGCGUGGGUAACCUGCCUUGUACAGGGGGAUAACAGUUGGAAACGGCUGCUAAUACCGCAUAAGCGCACGGCAUCGCAUGACGCAGUGUGAAAAACUCCGGUGGUAUAAGAUGGACCCGCGUUGGAUUAGCUAGUUGGUGAGGUAACGGCCCACCAAGGCGACGAUCCAUAGCCGACCUGAGAGGGUGACCGGCCACAUUGGGACUGAGACACGGCCCAAACUCCUACGGGAGGCAGCAGUGGGGAAUAUUGCACAAUGGGCGAAAGCCUGAUGCAGCGACGCCGCGUGAGCGAAGAAGUAUUUCGGUAUGUAAAGCUCUAUCAGCAGGAAAGAUAAUGACGGUACCUGACUAAGAAG